CCUAUCAGUUUGAGUCCAAUCUGCAACAACAGACCAUAGACCCGAGCCACCUUAGCAAGCUGGACUGGAGCAGGAAAAGAAGCUCACCCACUACCAGGCAGUCGGAAGCAGGGAAAACGGAUCCUCUCCAGAGAAGGGCGAAUAAAGUCUCCAAUGGACUUCGCAUCACAAUAUUCAUAACUUGGAAUACUUUUAUGAAAAACCCUUUUCUGAUUAUUUUUUAUCCAUGGACCCAUAUGGACUAAAGGAAUAUAAACAAUUGAGAAAUGGACAGACAAUCCGACUUCAGGAGGACGAGUAAGGACAAAGCUUGUCUGUGGACUGAGUCAGGCUAGCUGUUUCCCCCCGUUUCCAGUCUUUAUGCUAAGGUCCCCGCGCCGUGUCCCCUCCGAAGACCAUGAUGCAAACCUGAUGUAACAAAAUGUACACGAGAAGCCCAGACACAUCUAAAUAAUGUAUAAGUGAUACGUCUUGUUAGCCUUGACUCACAGGUUCAGUUGUCUUCUUGUGCACCAAAUGAUCAAUGUCCUCCUAUUAUCGUCAUGCACUCUCUCCAGUUCCAUUCCCAAUUCUCCCCGCCUCUCCCCGGGUCUUUCAUGUUGCCCUCUGGGAGCCAAACAAAACAUGGUUUUCUACUGCAAAUAAGGAGCUAAAACACCAUGUGAUCAGUCAUGAAUUAUUUGAACGCUAUUGAUUUGUAUAAAUUGUUGCA